rnacentral:rRNA from 1 species
GGGUUGUGAGGUUAAGCGACUAAGCGUACACGGUGGAUGCCCUGGCAGUCAGAGGCGAUGAAGGACGUGCUAAUCUGCGAUAAGCGUCGGUAAGGUGAUAUGAACCGUUAUAACCGGCGAUUUCCGAAUGGGGAAACCCAGUGUGAUUCGUCACACUAUCAUUAACUGAAUCCAUAGGUUAAUGAGGCGAACCGGGGGAACUGAAACAUCUAAGUACCCCGAGGAAAAGAAAUCAACCGAGAUUCCCCCAGUAGCGGCGAGCGAACGGGGAGGAGCCCAGAGCCUGAAUCAGUGUGUGUGUUAGUGGAAGCGUCUGGAAAGGCGCGCGAUACAGGGUGACAGCCCCGUACACAAAAAUGCACAUGCUGUGAGCUCGAUGAGUAGGGCGGGACACGUGGUAUCCUGUCUGAAUAUGGGGGGACCAUCCUCCAAGGCUAAAUACUCCUGACUGACCGAUAGUGAACCAGUACCGUGAGGGAAAGGCGAAAAGAACCCCGGCGAGGGGAGUGAAAAAGAACCUGAAACCGUGUACGUACAAGCAGUGGGAGCACAGAGCAAUCUGUGUGACUGCGUACCUUUUGUAUAAUGGGUCAGCGACUUAUAUUCUGUAGCAAGGUUAACCGAAUAGGGGAGCCGAAGGGAAACCGAGUCUUAACUGGGCGUUAAGUUGCAGGGUAUAGACCCGAAACCCGGUGAUCUAGCCAUGGGCAGGUUGAAGGUUGGGUAACACUAACUGGAGGACCGAACCGACUAAUGUUGAAAAAUUAGCGGAUGACUUGUGGCUGGGGGUGAAAGGCCAAUCAAACCGGGAGAUAGCUGGUUCUCCCCGAAAGCUAUUUAGGUAGCGCCUCGUGAAUUCAUCUCCGGGGGUAGAGCACUGUUUCGGCAAGGGGGUCAUCCCGACUUACCAACCCGAUGCAAACUGCGAAUACCGGAGAAUGUUAUCACGGGAGACACACGGCGGGUGCUAACGUCCGUCGUGAAGAGGGAAACAACCCAGACCGCCAGCUAAGGUCCCAAAGUCAUGGUUAAGUGGGAAACGAUGUGGGAAGGCCCAGACAGCCAGGAUGUUGGCUUAGAAGCAGCCAUCAUUUAAAGAAAGCGUAAUAGCUCACUGGUCGAGUCGGCCUGCGCGGAAGAUGUAACGGGGCUAAACCAUGCACCGAAGCUGCGGCAGCGACACUGUGUGUUGUUGGGUAGGGGAGCGU